rnacentral:rRNA from 1 species
CAGCAGCCGCCGCGGUAAUACAGAGGGUGCGAGCGUUAAUCGGAUUUACUGGGCGUAAAGCGUGCGUAGGCGGCUUUUUAAGUCGGAUGUGAAAUCCCUGAGCUUAACUUAGGAAUUGCAUUCGAUACUGGGAAGCUAGAGUAUGGGAGAGGAUGGUAGAAUUCCAGGUGUAGCGGUGAAAUGCGUAGAGAUCUGGAGGAAUACCGAUGGCGAAGGCAGCCAUCUGGCCUAACACUGACGCUGAGGUACGAAAGCAUGGGGAGCAAACAGGAUUAGAUACCCCCGUAGUCCCUGUCUCUUAUAA